rnacentral:sRNA from 1 species
CCGUGUCGUGCUGGAUGAGAACCUGCGUUCAGGUUCGAGCCGAGCGAAGCGAGACGACAACGCACAGCGUUGCCCGCAGGGCGAGGCCCAAGGCCGAGUCAAUCCUGCACGACCCACCA